rnacentral:lncRNA from 12 species
GGGGAAUAUAACGGAACCAUAGCGGAAGAGAGCUUUAUAGGUGACGUUCUCACUUCUCUUUUCUGGACUUGUCCAUCAACUUCUUCUAGGCUCCCGGGGUCUUCCAGCUGACUUUUAGGUGCCCAGACCUUCAGGAUGCCCCCAGUCGGACCUGCAGAAGAGUUCAUACUCCAAACCCAUGAGACUGCUUAGGAUGGUCCUGAGGUGCCCCACUUUAAGACCCUGAGAUGGACAGAGGAGAAACGUUUCCUCCCCUCCAGAGCUAAGCAUACUUCCUCUGGCUAGAGAACACCUCCAGACAGAGUUGCCGGAAGCCCCUACACAUCCAGGAGGGUCGCAAAGGAGGGCUGGAGACAGCAUUUCAGCCUGCAAAGACCUCAUACCCCAGAGAUGAGAAGAGGCUGCUUCGUGGACAGUUCUGCUGCAUACCAUAUAACAAAACACACCCUGGACAUGCCCGUGAGGAGCGCAGCCUGAGAAGCAAAGAAAGGUAGGCUUUAUAUUGGACAGAAUGGUGUUACUUCAUUUUAUUUGUGUUGUUGACAGUAAGGCAGAGGCCCUUUUCUUGUUUCUUUGUUAUUGUUGUUGGUGUACUGUGUUCCGCAAAAGCAUUUAGGACUUAAUUAAAAUAGUUUAAAUGGCCCUAGUCUGUCAAGCUUACAAUUUCCCUUGAAAACCUCUUUGUUCUCCCCUUACUGAAUUUCAUUCUAAGAAAAUCAAAGAGAAAACCUCUGGAAAUUGUCACCACGAAAAUAAAUGGGGAGAGGGUGGCGGGGAGGG